CACGGAGCUCUGGGGCUUCUCCCCAGGUGCAGGUGCAGCCUGGGGCCAGGCUAAGGACACUGGUGCCAAGGGGACAGAGGGCUGCCCAGCCCACCCCCAGCCCCUGACCGGAGCACAACAGGGCCACAGAGCCUGAUCCUAUUCCUGAGACCACCAGGGACAAGGUUCAGCACCCUCUCUCUGUCCAAAAGUUGAGCCAGCCCGUCAGCCACAGCCCAGUCCUCCAGGAGUCAGUCCCUGGGAGGAGAGACAGGUGACUGUCCCACGGCACGAGUGGUGCUCUGGGCCGGCAUAGAGGUGCACUGUCACUGCGGCAGCGUCUCCCCCUCUGCCAGGCUCUCCAAAGGCGCCCUCAGCACCACUGAGCUCUGCGGAGAGAACAGCUGACCUGCCUGGCAGCUCGCCUUUGGACUGAUUCAGAAGCCAUGAUCUGACUGAGAAGUCAGGCUUCCAUCGAACAACUAACUUCACCUGGACUCUCAGGCUGAACACAUAAAAUCUCUGAGCUCACAGGCUGCUUCCUCUAAUCUGCUCACAGCAAGGACCAAGGGAAAGAAAUAAAGAGACUUUGGGUGAAAAAUGGAGGUGGAGAAGUAGGGCCCCUAGCCCCUGGAAAGCAGCCGGAAGCCCUCCUGGGUCACACUGCUGGCCCAGGUGACAUUCCCUGCCCAUCUGCAGUUGGCUCUGAGGCGGGGCUGCACCAGGACCUGCAGCCACUCCUGGCCCUGCUCUGGGGACAGCCUUUCUCUUCCCUGCCUGUGCUCAUCCCUCUGAGCCAUGGCCUUUCUGGAUGGAGGUCCAGAUGGCUGCAAGUCCCUGGGAGGCCUCCUGGGUGGGUGUGCCCCUACUUGGGAGGGUCUUGGGACAGCCUAGCCUAUCCCGGGAGAAGUCUGCCCUCCUCUCCUGGGCCAUCAGUGCGUUUCUAAUGGCUGGUGAUGCCCCCGAUGCCAGAAUGGUCUUCCCCCUGAAAGCCACACAGUGUCACUUUUCAGGUCAGGUAGGUGCCCUGGAAGAUACCUGUAGUCAAGAAGGCGCUCCAUGAGGCGGGUGACUGAGGCCACGAAGGAUACACCGGUCUCACGCCAUGUCUCCUGCUCCACCUUCUCCAGCAGGCUAUUGGCAGAGGCGGGGGAAGCAGACACAGCGCACAAUUCAUGAGCCUCCCCUGGGC